rnacentral:rRNA from 1 species
ACACAUGCAAGUCGAGGGGCAUCAGUUUGGUUUGCUUGCAAACCAAAGCUGGCGACCGGCGCACGGGUGAGUAACACGUAUCCAACCUGCCUCAUACUCGGGGAUAGCCUUUCGAAAGAAAGAUUAAUAUCCGAUAGCAUAUAUUUCCCGCAUGGGUUUUAUAUUAAAGAAAUUCGGUAUGAGAUGGGGAUGCGUUCCAUUAGUUUGUUGGGGGGGUAACGGCCCACCAAGACUACGAUGGAUAGGGGUUCUGAGAGGAAGGUCCCCCACAUUGGAACUGAGACACGGUCCAAACUCCUACGGGAGGCAGCAGUGAGGAAUAUUGGUCAAUGGACGCGAGUCUGAACCAGCCAAGUAGCGUGAAGGAUGACUGCCCUAUGGGUUGUAAACUUCUUUUAUAUGGGAAUAAAGUGGUCCACGUGUGGACUUUUGUAUGUACCAUAUGAAUAAGGAUCGGCUAACUCCGUGCCAGCAGCCGCGGUAAUACGGAGGGUCCGAGCGUUAUCCGGAUUUAUUGGGUUUAAAGGGAGCGUAGGCGGAUUGUUAAGUCAGUUGUGAAAGUUUGCGGCUCAACCGUAAAAUUGCAGUUGAUACUGGCAGUCUUGAGUGCAGUAGAGGUGGGCGGAAUUCGUGGU